CCAACUGAGAACGAGAUCUAGCCUGCUAAUUAGUACGCCUGUCCUCUGUGCCUGUGUUGGCGGUGUUUUGGCGAAACUGCUCACUUAUACCGACUGCUGCGGUAUGCGUCUGUCUGUGUGCUGCGAGCUCUUUCGUGGGCGAGUAGUGUGCGGCGGGUGCGUUAACUGUGGUAGGAGGUGUGGGUGGUGGGUCCGGCGCUAGCCUCCGGGUACGGCGCAGGUGUGUCUACUUCUUAGAGGGACAAGCAUUACGAAUGUGCACGAAAUUGAGCAAUAACAGGUCUGUGAUGCCCUUAGAUGUCCGGGGCCGCACGCGCGCUACAAUGACGGUGCCAACGAGUCUGACCUUCUGGCCCGAAAGGGUUGGGUAAACUGGUAAGUCACCGUC
rnacentral:rRNA from 1 species